rnacentral:lncRNA from 1 species
CACAUGUCUGAAAUGAAAGCAAUAAAAACACACACACUAAAAAUGUGGAAAGAGAGAGAUUGAUCUGUGACACAGACAGACACAAGUUGCCACAGGGAACAUCUACUACACGAAAGCUCUUUCCUGUAAAUGACUGAUUUUCUUUAUUAUAAAUAAUAUGGGUCUUAAGGUUAUAUUGUAACUAGGAGUGCUUGACCCAGAGAUCAUUUGGCUCAUGACAUCUCACCAUAAGUGUAAAUUUAGCACCAUAAAUGACCCAGACUGAUUUGAUAUAGAGGGAGUAAUUAAAAUUUCCAGGUGUUGUCCUACAGGCCUCAAACUGCAACUCCUCAAAACAGUUGAAACAAAUUCUUGUCUGACAAUUCAAAAUUACCCUAAAUCCCAGUAGUAGCUUGACUUCUGAAAUUUUAACUUCCUGGUAGAGUGUCUUCCAGUGGACCUGCGCAAGCAGUUGUUCACACAUUUUCUUGGAAAUUGUUGACAAUGCAGGUUACAAUGCACUACAUGGGCUGACACUGGAGCAGUAACAUUGUCUGUGUACAAGAUUUGGAAAAUCUGGAUUUAAAUGGAAAAAAAGAGCAUCCUUUCUUUUCCCAUUUUUUUCUUGAAAUGUCAAAUGUGGACAGUCCUCUUCUGUUUCAAUGGCUCAAGUUUUGUAGCAAUUUUUUCUUGUGGGCCUGGCCCCACUCCAGACACGUUGUUUGUAGGAUAAAAUAGUGCUUCUUCACUCUGUGCAGCCAAACCCAUCCACACACACAAAGACACACAUAAUCACACAACAACCUUCCAUGUUUUGUCUUAUGCAAUUGGUUACCUUAUCUCUGGAUCCAUCCACUCUCAAAGCCAUAAAACAUUAUAUUGUGUGAACCUCUCCUUCACUCAAUUUGAGAAAUAUCUCCUCUGUAUUGUUUGAAGAGCAAUUCCCACAACUGAAUCCAAGUAGUGCUUCAAGUUUGGGCUCAUUAGAACCCAUGAGAGAGAGACAAGAUAGAGAAAUGAGAGUUUUAUGUUAAGAACUCAACCUGCCACCAC